GACGAACGCUGGCGGCGUGCUUAACACAUGCAAUUCGAACGGAAAGGCCCUGCUUUUGUGGGGUGCUCGAGUGGCGAACGGGUGAGUAACACGUGAUUAACCUGCCCUUGACUUUGGGAUAACUUCAGGAAACUGGUGCUAAUACCGGAUAGGAGCUCCUGCUGCAUGGUGGGUGUUUGAAAGUUUCGGCGGUUGGGGAUGGACUCGCGGCUUAUCAGCUUGUUGGUGGGGUAGUGGCUUACCAAGGCUUUGACUGGUAGCCUGCCUGAGAGGGUGACCGGGCAAAUUGGGAACAGACAAACGACAAGACAGCUACGGGGGGGAGACGGUGGGGAGAAUGUAACAUGGGCGGAAGCCCGGAGCAGGAAAGCCGCCAGCGGGCAGACGGCCUUCGGGUUGUAAACCGCUUUCGCCUGUGACGAAGCGUGAGUGACGGUAAUGGGUAAAGAAGCACCGGCUAACUACGUG
rnacentral:rRNA from 1 species